rnacentral:rRNA from 1 species
UACGUAGGGUGCAAGCGUUGUCCGGAAUUAUUGGGCGUAAAGAGCUCGUAGGCGGUUCGUCGCGUCGGCUGUGAAAACCUGAGGCUCAACCUCAGGCCUGCAGUCGAUACGGGCGGACUUGAGUACUGCAGGGGAGACUGGAAUUCCUGGUGUAGCGGUGAAAUGCGCAGAUAUCAGGAGGAACACCGGUGGCGAAGGCAGCUCUCUGGGACGGUACUGACGCUGAGGAGCGAAAGCAUGGGGAGCGAACAGG